UGGCUCAGACGGUAAAGCGUCUGUCUGCAAUGCAGGAGACCCGGGUUCGAUCCCUGG
rfam:TPA: Bos taurus chromosome 3, whole genome shotgun sequence.